UUUAAUAAGAAUGAAUGACAAAACAAUUAAUAUAUAAUUUGCUUGUUUAAUAAAACAAACGGUAAAAUAAAUUCUAUAAAAAAAUUGGUAAAAUAAAAUUAUAAAAUAAUAAACACAAGUUGUGUCUAUGCAUUGACACGUCAUCCUUAUCUCUUUAUCUCCCUCUUUUACAGGACAAAAUCUUCAAUCUUCAACCUUCAACCCUCUUUAAUUUCUUCCCUGUUCUUUUCUUCCUCUGUUUCUUUUUUCUCCCCUUGUUAUCAUUCCACAAUUUUUUUUUUCGGUUCUUUGCAUCCUUCAUUUAUUUAUUUAUUUAUUUUGUCGAUAAAUCAUUUUUCCUCCCUUUAAAUCCUUUUCUUCCGAAGAAGAAAAGAAAAAAAGCAAAAAAGAAUAAGUAACACUGUCACAAGGAUCUGAUUUUUCUUUUUUAUCUUUUUAAAAAAUGGCUUUUAUAAUUUAAAAUACUCAAGUUAUGGAUAAAGGCAAAAAUGCUAAUAUGAAUUUGUUGUGAUAUCGUGCAGUGGCUGCGGACCCGCGGCAUAGAGAUGUUGGAGUAGGGGUGCCGCGCGGGAGAACUUGACGGCAUUGACAGCAUCGAGUACUUAAAGUGGCUGUUGCCGUGCUAGUGUCGGUGAUAAAUGUUAUGGCUGAGCCGGUGUCGGCGAUAGAUUGGGUUUUGAGAAGAGAAUGGAAGCAAAGAGAAGAUGCGUUCUGUGGCUUAAUCGUGUUUUGAAGAAGAAAAAAUAUUACUCUUUUUUUUUUCCUCUCUUUAUAAGCAAUCACGCGUAAACCCGAUACCCCCCACGGGUUUAGUUAAUGCGGCUUUAACUGUAUAACAACAGUAAUGUUAUGCGGUAUAAUACGAAAUCAGUUUUUAGCCAAACAUAGGGAUGUAUUAAUUUAAUGCUAUGCGGGAUGGUAAUGCUGUGUAAAGCUGGAUGCCAAACGCAUCCUUAAUGGUUCAUGCCAUGCCUGCUCACAGGCUCUCAUGGCCUUCAUUUAAUGUCAGCAUGGCCCAUUGAAUUUGCUAGUUUUAAAUUUCACUUUUGUCUUUUAAACUAAACAAAUUUACUAGAGUUGUCUUCUCUUUUAGAGAUUUCCUCUAGCUUGUUUUAAGCUAUCCUUUAUUCACAUAAAAGUAUUGAUUUUUAAUCUA
rnacentral:lncRNA from 1 species